rnacentral:rRNA from 1 species
UAGCAUAUCAAUAAGCGGAGGAAAAGAAACCAACAGGGAUUGCCCUAGUAACGGCGAGUGAAGCGGCAACAGCUCAAAUUUGAAAUCUGGCUCUUUCAGGGUCCGAGUUGUAAUUUGCAGAGGGCGCUUUGGCGUUGGCAGCGGUUCAAGUUCCUUGGAACAGGACGUCACAGAGGGUGAGAAUCCCGUACGUGGUCGCUAACCUUCGCCGUGUAAAGCCCCUUCGACGAGUCGAGUUGUUUGGGAAUGCAGCUCUAAAUGGGAGGUAAAUUUCUUCUAAAGCUAAAUACUGGCCAGAGACCGAUAGCGCACAAGUAGAGUGAUCGAAAGAUGAAAAGCACUUUGGAAAGAGAGUCAAACAGCACGUGAAAUUGUUGAAAGGGAAGCGCUUGCAGCCAGACUUGCCUGUAGUUGCUCAUCCGGGCUUUUGCCCGGUGCACUCUUCUGCGGGCAGGCCAGCAUCAGUUUGGGCGGUUGGAUAAAGGUCUCUGUCAUGUACCUCUCUUCGGGGAGGCCUUAUAGGGGAGACGACAUGCAACCAGCCUGGACUGAGGUCCGCGCAUUUGCUAGGAUGCUGGCGUAAUGGCUGUAAGCGGCCCGUCUUGAAACACGGACCAAGGAGUCUAACAUCUAUGCGAGUGUUUGGGUGUCAAGCCCGAGCGCGUAAUGAAAGUGAACGGAGGUGGGACCCCAUUAGGGUGCACCAUCGACCGAUCCUGAUGUCUUCGGAUGGAUUUGAGUAAGAGCAUGGCUGUUGGGACCCGAAAGAUGGUGAACUAUGCUUGAAUAGGGUGAAGCCAGAGGAAACUCUGGUGGAGGCUCGCAGCGGUUCUGACGUGCAAAUCGAUCGUCAAAUUUGGGCAUAGGGGCGAAAGACUAAUCGAACUAUCUAGUAGCUGGUUCCUGC